CCUACGGGAGGCAGCAGUAAGGAAUCUUCCACAAUGGACGAAAGUCUGAUGGAGCAACGCCGCGUGCAGGAUGAAGGCUUUCGGGUCGUAAACUGCUUUUAUAUGGGAAGAUUAUGACGGUACCAUAUGAAUAAGGACCGGCUAACUACGUGCCAGCAGCCGCGGUAAUACGUAGGGUCCAAGCGAUAUCCGGAAUUACUGGGCGUAAAGCGUGUGUAGGUGGAUUAAUAAGUGUGAUGCGAAAUCCGGCGGCUCAACCGUUUGGACUGUGUCGCAUACUGUUAGUCUAGAGGACGGCAGAGGUAAGUGGAAUUACGGGUGUAGCAGUGAAAUGCGUAGAUAUCCGUAGGAACACCAAUGGCGAAGGCAGCUUACUGGGCCACACCUGACACUGAGACACGAAAGCGUGGGGAGCGAACAGGAUUAGAUACCCUGGUAGUCCACGCCGUAAACGAUGCAUACUAUUAGUAUGGGGUAUCGACCCCCUGUGCUGAGAAGCUAACGCGAUAAGUAUGCCGCCUGGGGAGUACGAGCGCAAGCUUAAAACUCAAAGAUAGUAGCGUGNGAGAGCGACGACGACGACGACGGAGGAGGAG
rnacentral:rRNA from 1 species